UACGUAGGGGGCAAGCGUUGUCCGGAAUCAUUGGGCGUAAAGCGCGCGUAGGCGGCCGGGUAAGUCCGUUGUAAAAGUCGAAGGCUCAACCUUCGAAAGCCGAUGGAUACUGCCGGGCUAGAGUCCGGAAGAGGCGAGUGGAAUUCCUGGUGUAGCGGUGGAAUGCGCAGAUAUCAGGAGGAACACCCAUAGCGAAGGCAGCUCGCUGGGAUGGUACUGACGCUGAGGCGCGAAAGCGUGGGGAGCGAACAGG
rnacentral:rRNA from 1 species